UACGAAGGGGGCUAGCGUUGCUCGGAAUCACUGGGCGUAAAGGGUGCGUAGGCGGGUCUUUAAGUCAGGGGUGAAAUCCUGGAGCUCAACUCCAGAACUGCCUUUGAUACUGGUAGACUUGAGUGUGGCAGAGGAGUAUGGAAUUCCUGGUGUAGCGGUGAAAUGCGUAGAUAUCAGGAGGAAUACCGAUGGCGAAGGCAGUACUCUGGGCUAACACUGACGCUGAGGUGCGAAAGCGUGGGGAGCAAACGGG
rnacentral:rRNA from 1 species